GAUGAACGCUGGCGGCGUGCCUAACACAUGCAAGUCGAGCGAUUUACUUCGGUAAAGAGCGGCGGACGGGUGAGUAACGCGUGGGUAACCUGCCCUGUACACACGGAUAACAUACCGAAAGGUAUGCUAAUACGAGAUAAUAUGCUUUUAUCGCAUGGUAGAAGUAUCAGAGCUUUUGCGGUACAGGAUGGACCCGCGUCUGAUUAGCUAGUUGGUAAGGUAACGGCUUACCAAGGCGACGAUCGGUAGCCGACCUGAGAGGGUGAUCGGCCACAUUGGAACUGAGACACGGUCCAAACUCCUACGGGAGGCAGCAGUGGGGAAUAUUGCACAAUGGGCGAAAGCCUGAUGCAGCAACGCCGCGUGAGCGAUGAAGGCCUUCGGGUCGUAAAGCUCUGUCCUCAAGGAAGAUAAUGACGGUACUUGAGGAGGAAGCCCCGGCUAACUACGUGCCAGCCGCCGCAGUAAGAC
rnacentral:rRNA from 1 species